GCUAAGCAAAGCUUGGAAGGUCAGUCACAUGUCAGCACAAGGGUGCAAGGUACACAUGGCUAUUUAGCACCUGAGUAUGCUCUAUAUGGUCACUUAACAGAGAAAAGUGAUGUAUAUAGCUUUGGAAUUGUGAUUCUUGAAAUUAUGAGCGGAAGAAAGGUGCUUGAUACAUCAAAUUCUUCAUUUCUUUUGAUUACGGAUUGGGCAUGGACACUAGCAAAAUCUGGAAAUAUAGAGCAAAUAUUUGAUGAGUCGAUAAGGGAGCAGGGACCAAAGGGGGUGAUGGAAAGAUUUGUUCUUGUUGGGAUUCUCUGUGCACAUGUAAUGGUGGCAUUUAGACCUACCACUGCAAAUGCUCUUAGAAUGUUAGAGGGUGAUAUUGACAUCCCAACAUUACCUGACCGACCAAUGCCGCUCAACCAUGAAGCAUUUAAAUCCUCUUUCUAGUGUAAUGAUAGUUCAACAGCAAUUGAAAGAUCAAAAAUCAAUAGCAGUUCCAGUAUAAGCAUAGUGUAGAUCAUAGAACAGUCUCUGCAGGG
rnacentral:misc_RNA from 1 species